GGGAGCCCGAUAAUUAAGCUGGAAACACCAAAGGAAAGAGAAAGGAGGAUACAGGUGUGUGUGUGUGUUCAAAUUCACUAUUAAUAUAUUAAAGGUUAAUUAUGAAGAAAAAUAUAUAUUGAUUCUUGGAUUGUCACAUAUUCUACACAUACAAUCUCCCGGGGGAGUUUAUUACUUCAUGCAUCUCCUUAAGUGGGAUUAUAAAGCGAAGUUUUAUUCUCAAUUUUUUUUUUGAACUUCCGGCGACAUGUACACUGACUGCUUGAGUCCGUAUUAUAAGAAUCUUGCAUAUCCAUCAAAUUUAAAAGUAAUCAAAUGGGAUCUUGCGGAGAGAACAUCGGCGCUUCUGUCCUCGUAUAAUUAGUUCAUCGUUUGAGGUUCCAUGUUAGUGGCAGAGUAGUGCUCGCCUGGUCGAUCUAGUGGGAGUUCUACAUUGUUUAUUUUGAAGAUGCAUAAAUGACUGAGACUCAAGGAAAUUAGGUCACUUGUGUAUGCUGGGAAAAGCAGCCCUCACACACAUGAGUGAUGCGCAAUAAAACCCUUUUUCAGGCAAAAUAACUCACUUCACUGAGCAUUUUUUUAAACAUGAUUUAGCAUGUUCAUACUUUUUUGGAGUUAACGGGCAGCUCGUACAAACUAGAGUUUUUUUAUUUCAUUUAUAUUAUGAGAAGUACAUUUGUUGUUUGUGGUUGUUAAUUAAGAACAAAAUGAUAGUUCUAUAUUAAUAAGGAGAUAUAAUAUAUAAACAUGAUUUUGAGUAUUACGUUUGCACAUACUUUUUUUGUGAAAACCUUUGCACAUACCUGUUAUCAAGUAAUCCGCACCAAGUAGAAACAUAUAUCUCAUUGCAGCAUCGUAUACACAAUAUUGUAUGCCACUUUUUUUGUUGGUCCCUAAGUAAAAUUAUCAUCAAUUUUGUUUCCUAGAAACUUUUCAUUAAUGUUUUGUGCCAGUUAAAUUCUUAAAAUGAUUUUGUUAGACAUAUUAGGCUAAUUUAUUUGAUGGUUUCCAUAUUGCCACAUGUUCUAUAGUGGGAUUAUUUUCUGUUUUGAGGGUGGGAUUAUGUUCUCUUGGUAUCAUAAAAGCCUUGCCUGAUGUAUGCAAUCUUGGGAGCUAAUAUAUUUUGAAAACAAAAUUGUUUCACACUAGUUGGUGGAAUGUAUGGAGGUGUGCAGAUGUGAAUACAUCCACCAUGAGGCCAACCCGAUCCGGUCGGUGUUGGAUCGUGUUUUUGCUACUUCGUCUUGGGACAUUCUUUUUCCUCGAGCUUCUCUCUCCACCCUACCCCAUGUUGAGUCAGACCACUCCCCCCUCAUCUUUGGAUUUGGGCGUAUCCUCCACGGUAAUUUCUUCUAGAUUCCAGUUCGACGCUUCUUGGCUUUUGGUUGAUUUUUUCUUUGAUAUGGUCUCGGCGAAGAUCUCCUCCCUCCUUAAUUCGAGAGUCGGGUCUUUUGGCCCAAUGCACGACUGACACUUCUGCUCUUACCAACUUCGGAAAUUCCUCAAAGACUGGGGCCGUAAUCGCGUGACUGAUGCUCUCAAACGCAAGUGUGACCUGUUGAGGCAGGUCUCGUCCUCAGAUGCAGAGGCCGAUUCGUCCGGGCUGUUGGCGGGCAAUAUCGUUAUGAGCUUGAGGGCUCUCUCAUGCAACUACACCAGUAGGAUGAGGUCUAUUGGAAGCAAGGUGGCACCAUUAAUUAGACUCUGAAAGGGGAUUCCCCAAUUGCGUAUUUUUUUCUAUUGCCAAUGGCCGCCGUUGCAGAUGUUCUAUUGAUAGUUUGGUAGCCCUCACACACAUGAGUGAUGCUCAAUAAAACCCUUUUUCAGGCAAAAUAACUCACUUCACUGAGCAUUUUUUUAAACAUGAUUUAGCAUGUGCAUACUUCUUUGGAGUUAACGGGCAGCUGGUACAAACUAGAGUUUUUAUUUUAUUUUAUAUUAGGAGAAGUACAUUUGUUGUUUGUGGUUGUUGAUUAAGAACAAAAUGAUAGUUCUAUAUUAAUAAGGAGAUAUAAUAUAUAAACAUGAUUCUGAGUAUUAUGUUUGCACAUACUUUUUUGUGAAAACCGUUGCACAUACAUUUUAUCAAGUAAUCCGCACCAAGUAGAAACAUAUAUCUCAUUGCAGCAUCAUAUACACAAUAUUGUAUGCCACUUUUUUGUUGGUCCCUAAGUAAAAUUAUCAUCAAUAUUGUUUCCUACAAACUUUUCAUUAAUGUUUUGUGCCAGUUAAAUUCUUAAAAUGAUUUUGUUAGACAUAUUAGGCUAAUUUAUUUGAUGGUUCCAUAUUGCCACAUGUUCUGUAGUGGGAUUAUUUUCUGUUUUGAGGGUGGGAUUAUGUUCUCUUGGUAUCAUAAAAGCCUUGCCCGAUGUAUGCAAUCUUGGGAGCUAAUAUAUUUUGAAAACAAAAUUGUUUCACACUAGUUGGUGGAGUGUAUGGAGGUGUGCAGAUGUGAAUACAUGCACCAUGAGGCCAACCCGAUCCGCUCGGUGUUGGAUCGUGUUUUUGCUACUUCGUCUUGGGACAUUCUUUUUCCUCAAGCUUCUCUCUCUGCCCUGCCCCAUGUUGUUUCAGACCACUCCCCCCUCAUCUUUGGAUUUGGGCGUAUCCUCCACGGUAAUUUCUUCUAGAUUCCAGUUUGAUGCUUCUUGGCUUUUGGUUGAUUUUUUUCUUUGAUAUGGUCUCGGCGAAGAUCUCCUCCCUCCUUAAUUCGAGAGUCGGGUCUUUUGGCCCAAUGGACGACUGACACUUCUGCUCUUACCAACUUCAGAAAUUCCUCAAAGGCUGGGCCGUAAUCGCGUGACUGAUGCUCUCAAACGCAAGUGUGGCCUGUUGAGGCAGGUCUCGUCCUUAGAUGCAGAGGCCGAUUCGUCCGGACUGUUGGCUGGCAAUAUAGUUAUGAGCUUGAGGGCUCUCUCAUGCAACUACACCAGCAGGCUGAGGUCUAAUGGAAGCAAGGUGGCACCAUUAAUUGGACUCUGAAAGGGGAUUCCCCAACUGCGUAUUUUUUUCCUAUUGCCAAUGGCCGCCGUUGCAGAUGUUCUAUUGAUAGUUUGGUUAUAAACGAUGUUUGGUUUGUUGACCCUCGCGUGAUUAUGGAUCACGUCUUCAAUUUAUUUUCUGAUCAGCUAGCAGCCAGGCCAGCCUUGGGUUUCAUUAUCUCCCCCAAUCUUUGGGCCCAGGAUUAGGCGGGUUUCAGACGAAGAGAACGCGGCUCUUCCGAUUCCCCUCUCAGUUGAAGAGAUUGAUAUGGCCAUCAAUUCACCUAAUGUGAACUCGGCCUCGGGCUUGAAUGGAUUCUCGACCCCUUUCUUUAAACGGUUCUGGCCCACCCUUCAUUCGUUGGUUUGUGAUAUUAUUCAAGGUUUUUUGUCUCGGUAAUGUGGACAUUUCACACCUUAGUUAUGCCAUCCUUUCCCUUAUUCCCAAAGUUAAGGGUGCUGAGUCUAUUUCUCAGUUUCAGCCCAUUGCCCUGAUUAACAACUUCGCCAAGUUCCCUCCUAAAGGGCUGGCAACGAGGCUAUUGCCUGUGGCCCAUCGUAUUAUUAACCCUUCCCAAUCUGCUUUCAUAAAAGGUAGGUUUAUUUUAGAUGGUGUCCUUUGUAUGCAUGAGAUUGUCCAUGGCCUUAGGAUGAGAGGUAGCAGAGCGAUUAUUCUCAAGCUUGACUUCGGGAAAGCCUGCGACUCGGUUAGUUGGGAUUUUCUCCGUCACGUCAUUUUUGCUAAGGGAUUUGACUCCGGUAUUGUCCAUAGAUUGAUGCAGUUGUCUCUGGUAGUCAUACAGCGAUGGCUAUCAAUGGCUCGGUUAGCAAAUUCUUCACCAAUGGUCGUGGCCUUCAACAAGGCAAUCAAGCUUCGCCUAUUCUAUUUAACUUUGUUGCAGAUGCAAUAUCGUGUAUGCUCGACCGGGCGGCCUCAGCCGGACACAUCUCCUCUGUCAUUUCCCACCUCCGCCCCACGGUAUCACUCUCCAAUAUGAGGAUGACACGGUUAUUCUUGUGGAGUUGAACGACUCCUGUAUUGCUAACCUUAAGUUUAUCCUGCUCUGCUUCGAAGCCUUCUCGGGGCUCAAAAUCAACUCUUCUAAGGGCAAGGUUAUUGUUACGGGAGUUGACGAGGCCGAAGCAUUGCGUGUUUCCCAACUUCUUAACUAUUCUCUAGGGGGUUUUCCCUUCAAAUACUCGGGGCUCUCUAUCUCUCCUUUCCGUCUAUGUGCCAUGGAGUUCAAACCUUUGGUUUCUAAGGUAGGAAAUAGAGUUCUACCGUGGCAUGGUAGAUAUAAAACCUUUGCUGGCAAAGUUUCUCUUAUUACUUCCUGCCUUUCCUCCCUCACUAUGUUCACUAUGUGUUUUUUUACUUUCUAAAGGCACUCAUGCAAGCUUUGACAAACAUAGAAGGGCCUUUUUUUGGAAUUCUGUGGAUAAUAAACGAAAAUAGAUUUUGUUAAGUGGGAUAUCAUUUACAGACCAAAAAGCCUUGGGGGCUUGGGAUUUUGAACACCUAGGUGAUGAACAGCUGCCUCAUCAUCAAAUGGCGGUGGAGGAUUAUGACCGCGACUCCCGGCACUCUUUGGUUCGAUAUUCUCAAAGCUAGAUAUUCCCAGCUGGUAGCCCCAUGUUCGCCUCGGCGUCACGUGGCUCGCAGUUUUGGAAAGAUCUGGUCAAGGUUAGGGAUGUGUUUCGCCAACAUGUUAAAUUCGUGGUCAAGAACGGUGCCUCUACUCGCUUUUGGUUGGGUUGGUGGUCUCGAGACACCCCCCUUGCGACCUCCUUUCUGGUUCUGUUUUCUUAUUGUUCUAAUCCGGAGAUCUGAAUCUCUGAGCUCUCUCGUAAUGACGGGGACUUGGGUUUCCGAAGAUCCCUUUCUCCUGAAGAGUUGGGGGACUGGCACCGCCUUGCUGCUUUGUUCCCUGUUCUCUCGGAGGAGGUGGACUCCGUUUCCUGGCCUCACACUACGUCUGGGAAGUUUUUGGUCAAAUCGGUGUAUGCUAGGCUUAUUUUUGGACCUCCUUCCACCAAGUUUAAGCAAAUCUCGGCGGCUAGGAUCCCCUCGAAGAUCAAAUUCUUUCUCUGGCAAGCCUUUAGGGGCUGACUACCUUCUGCUGAUCAGAUUCAGAAGCGGAACGGUCCUGGUUCUGCCUUCUGUGCUUUAUGUUCUACCAUAGAAGACACUAAUCAUAUUUUUUUUCAUUGUGUUUUGGCCAAGCUGGUUUGGGGGUGUGUUCGUUCUUGUUUGAACACCUCUUGGGCCCCUGGUUCCUUCUCGGAUGUUCGUCUAUUGACGGCCAAUUUACAGGGCCGAUAUAGGAGGCUGUUUUGGAUUAGGUUGGGUGCUCUUUGCUAGGCGCUAUGGACUACUAGAAACAAAUUCACUGUUGAGGGUAUUUUCCUAAUAAGCCUGCUGAUGUCCUACUUAAAAUGUGUAUUUUCCUGCAGCAGUGGAAAUUAUUGACUAAAUCGGCGGACCGUGAUGAUAUGGAGGUGCUGAUCAACAAAGUGCGGGCGUCUGCAAACUUGAUGUCAUCUCCAUCCGUUGGCGCUUCAUCGUAGCUGCUGGGCCUUCUGAGUGCGUAGGUGGUGGCCUGCGUGCCCCGUUCGUAUUAGCCGUUCCUGUGUGCCGCUAUACUGUACUAAUGUUCUCUUGUUCUCUUGCCCUGUGUUGGGUGGCUCGUUGACUAUGGUUGGCUUGUGUGGGCUGUGUUGGUUGUUGCUACUCUUCCGUAUGGCUUUAUCUAUAAAGUCGGGCAUAUGGCUUUUCUCUAAAAGAAUCUGAAUUCUCAAUUUAUGCACGCAAGGGAAUGUGUUUGGUAGGAAGGUAAUUUUUGCGAUGUG
rnacentral:lncRNA from 1 species